UUCUUCUUCUUCUUCCCCUUCUUCUUCUUCUUCUUCUCCUUCUUCGGCCUUUUUCGGCCUCGCCUUUCCUUCGGUUCUGGUGCGAUGGCCGGAAAUCCAUCUCGGGGGGCUCGGUCGGGAAAUCUGACCGAUGACCCUUGGUCGACUCCGGAAGUUGAAGUUUCCUCGCUUUCGGGGCCGACGUUGAUCGGCUUCGGGAUCAGUAUCGCAUCCCGGAGCAGUUUCAACUUUCCGCCCCAGGGGUCGGCGGUUGGGUUAACAACCCUCCGUCGGGCCAAUUGGCGCUGUACGUCGAAGAUCUCCGCGUGGGUCUUCGGCUUCCGAUUCUGGAGUUUGUCCAAAAUCUGCUGGAUUAUUGCGAACUUUGUCCGGCGCAACUGGCGCCGAACUCCGUCCG
rnacentral:lncRNA from 1 species